UACGGGGGGGGCGAGCGUUGUCCGAAGUUACUGGGCGUAAAGCGCGCGUAGGCGGGUCAGCAAGUCCGCUGUGAAAGCCCGAGGCUUAACCUCGGCGGGUCGGUGGAUACUGUUGGUCUUGAAGGUGCUAGGGGGAGAUGGAAUUACCGGUGUAGCGGUGAAAUGCGUAGAUAUCGGAAGGAACGCCGGUGGCGAAAGCGAUCCGCUGGACCUCUUCUGACGCUGAGGCGCGAAAGCCAGGGGAGCAAACGGG
rnacentral:rRNA from 1 species